CGGGAAGAGCUCAAAUUUAAAAUCUGGCGUGCCUCUGGUCGUCCGAAUUGUAGUCUGAAGAAGCGUCUUCUGUGUUGGACCGUGUACAAGUCUCUUGGAAUAGGGCAUCAUAGAGGGUGAGAAUCCCGUC
rnacentral:rRNA from 1 species